GUGCCGUUAACUCAGCCCGGUAGAGUUCCAGACUCUUAAUCUGGGAGCCAGAGGUUCGAAUCCUCUACGGCACACCA
rnacentral:tRNA from 1 species